AUUUGACACUAGGGGUGUUCGGAGAAGAACUGAGACGCGUUUGCGCAACGCGAUCCCUUUGAACCUGUAAGUUCAGACUUGCGUAGGAAAGUGGAAAGUAGGGGGA
rnacentral:ncRNA from 2 species